ACCUCCUGGGAUCUUGUUAAAAUGCAGAUUCUGAUUUCUUUCGUAUGUCUGUUAUGGGACCUGAGAUUCUGCAUUUCUAACAAGUGCCCACGUGAUGCUGA
rnacentral:pre_miRNA from 1 species